AGAAAAGCCAUUCACCGCGUAUUACGUUCAUUAACUUGUUACAUUAUUCAUAGAAACCUUGAAUACAUAACUGUUUUUAACACUCAACUAUAAGUGGAUAUGGAAUUAUCUGACAUUUAAAGAUGAAACAGCAGAAGCCACACAAACAAAAGAAGCUUCUGUAGUACUGGCACACUGCAUAUCAGUAUAUAUUUAUGUUUGUAUAUGUGAUAUGUACUUGGACUAGGGUAUAUCUGUGGGGUUGGAUUGAGCAAGACUGUGGAUCCUUUUCUUCAUCUCAUCUGGAUUUGCACCAACUAUCUUGUCAACUGGCACUCCACCUUUCAGCAGCAGAAAUGUUGGCAUGGCUUUCACCUCAUAUUUGCUAGCCACCUCCUUGACCUCAUCCACAUCAACUGUGAGAAAAGACAUAUUUUGGUACAUAUAAGCCAACUCCUCCAUAAAGGGUUUCAUAGCCACAGAGGGAAUACACCAAACAGCCGUAAAGUGUGCCACAAUAGGGCAUCCUUGAAGUGUGGCUUGAUUUACAUGAAAAUCCCAUGAUUCCUUAGAGUUUACCUUGACAACUCUUGAUUUGGUCCCCUGUUCUUCAACUUCCAUUAUUCAAAAUUGAGAAGGCCAAGUUUGUGUUUAUCCAAAAUAGUCACUUAAAA
rnacentral:misc_RNA from 1 species